CGGGACUUCCUGUCUGCGGCUUUUCCGGGGAGAAGAAUGGCGGGAAACGGCGGGGAAGAGAAGCCGGGGUUUGUGGUUCAUUAAUUAAUUUAUUUAUCGUUCAAUUUUAGUGAUCGUUUCCUUCUCUGUCGUUCAUGAACUGAUCGUCACGAGUGCGGGAUUCCGGGUUCCAUUUCUCGGCCUUUCACUCCGAUGUUUGCAUCCCGGGCCUCUGGAUGGUUAAAUUGUUUCAUUUCGUUACAAAAAAAAGUGUUUUCUUUGAUUUUUUACAACAUUUAAUUUGGGUUUUUGUCCCCGUUGCUUCUGAGAUUAAAAUGUUUCUCUACCUAAAA